CAUAGCCCAAGAGAUCUGGAAUGACUCCUGGACGAAAUCUCCGGAGCCUUAGGAUGGCACUGCGACCUAUCAGGUUGUAGGGAGGGUAACGGCCUCCCUAGCCUACGACGGGUACGCGCGUUGAGAGACGUCGCCCGGAGAUGAACUCUGAGACACGAGUUCAGGCCCUACGGGGCGCAGCAGGCGCGAAAACUGCACAAUGCUGGAAACAGCGAUGCGGGAAUACCAAGUGCCGGCACUAAGUGUCGGCUGUUCCAUUGUCUAAAAAACAUAGGAAGUAAGGGCUGGGUAAGACGGGUGCCAGCCGCCGCGGUAAUACCUGCAGCCCGAGUGGUGGCCGUUAUUAUUGGGCCUAAAACGUCCGUAGCCUGUUUGGUAGAUGCCUGUGUAAAUCGAACGGCUCAACCGUUCGAAGUGCGGGUAGACCGCCAGACUUGGGACCGGGAGAGUCACGAAGUACUCCGGGGGUAGAGGUGAAAUUCUGUAAUCCUCGGGGGACUACCGGUGGCGAAAGGCGUCGUGAUAGAACGGCUCCGACGGUGAGGGACGAAGGCCCUGGGGCGCAAACCGGGAUUAGAUACCCGGGUAGUCCAGGUGUAA
rnacentral:rRNA from 1 species